rnacentral:rRNA from 1 species
UGGGGAAUUUUGGACAAUGGGCGAAAGCCUGAUCCAGCAAUGCCGCGUGUGUGAAGAAGGCCUUCGGGUUGUAAAGCACUUUUGUCCGGGAAAGAAAUCCUUGGCUCUAAUACAGUCGGGGGAUGACGGUACCGGAAGAAUAAGCACCGGCUAACUACGUGCCAGCAGCCGCGGUAAUACGUAGGGUGCAAGCGUUAAUCGGAAUUACUGGGCGUAAAGCGUGCGCAGGCGGUUUGCUAAGACCGAUGUGAAAUCCCCGGGCUCAACCUGGGAACUGCAUUGGUGACUGGCAGGCUAGAGUAUGGCAGAGGGGGGUAGAAUUCCACGUGUAGCAGUGAAAUGCGUAGAGAUGUGGAGGAAUA